AUUGAACGCUGGCGGCAUGCUUUACACAUGCAAGUCGAGCGGGGUGAGGGGGCAACCUCUCAUCUAGUGGCGAACGGGUGAGUAAUGCAUCGGAACGUGUCCCGUAGUGGGGGAUAACCCGGCGAAAGCCGGACUAAUACCGCAUAUGCUCUACGGAGGAAAGUGGGGGACCUGUAAGGGCCUCACGCUAUGGGAGCGGCCGAUGUCCGAUUAGCUUGUUGGUGAGGAAUGGCUCACCAAGGCGACGAUCGGUAGCUGGUCUGAGAGGAUGAUCAGCCACACUGGGACUGAGACACGGCCCAGACUCCUACGGAGGCAGCAGUGGGAAUUUUGGACAAUGGGGCAACCCUGAUCCAGCCAUGCCGCGUGCGGGAAGAAGGCCU
rnacentral:rRNA from 1 species